UUCAAAAUUAGUUGGCUAAGUUCACGGAGGUGACAAUUAAUAAAAAUUUUGGAACAGGAAGUCCAAGGAUGAUAUAAAAUAUAUGAUGAUGAAAUAAUAAUAAUUGCCUCCGACACACGUACAGUCGGAACAGAAGCGAAGAAAUCCCAUCCCAUUCAUUCAUCAACGAAACUACAAGUAAGCUGUGGUAGUGGUUCUUGCCAUCUCUAUUCAGAGUAUUCAGUAAUCAUCGAACACGAGUAACAACAAAUAUGAGUGGAGUAACUGGAUUCGUUAAAAGCGUCUAUUACGAUCCUUUCAAGUGGUCGCUAGUAAAGAGCGUUGCAUUAUUUGCUCUUGGUAUAACGAUCGCCGUCGAACUUCGAGGUGUCGAUUUAACCGCUCCAACGACACCGUAAAGUUUUUAUAAUCAUUUUUUUUUAAUUACACUUUUACGUAUUUAUGAAAAUGAGAUUCGGUUCAUCAUGGAAGCCGGAGCAAAUUUCUUCACAAUCUUCUCAUGUACAAGAUUUUUCAAUGGUGAUUAAAUAUAUUUUAUGUUGAUGUAA